ACCCGAGGUGAAUCGCCAUCACAAACGGCGGCGCCGUCACCGGAGCACGACGGAGCUGUCUUGCCGAAAUUGCGAUAUUGGCCGAAAGGGGCCCUAGGUCUAAUUUGGAAUUUUUGGGACACGUGCAGGUACCAGUAGUGCGUUUCAGUUCCCCGAAAAAAAAAUUCAGGAAAAAUUAGGUACAGCCUGUAGGCGCACUGUAGAGCCGUAUUCAGACCCCAAACAAGUGAGGACCCCUCACCCUAUUUCCUAUCACGGUAUUAAAGCUAAAUAAAUGAUUAAACUCUACUGUGUGACUUUAUAGAUGUAUAAUUGAUUAAGGUUGCCAGUGGAGCCCGAGUCUGAUACAAUGUCGGUCUAUUAUUGUUUGAUCUAAUUUUCAGUAUUAAAUGUAGCAUGAUGUUUGAUGUAAUUAUGUUAUGGUCUCGUAUGCAUGAACCAUGGUUUCUUUUAUUAUAGUUUGUAUUAUGGUGAACCCGGUACUGUAUUGUCUUAUUUGGUGUCAAUUACUGGUUUACAUAUUGUGUAUGAUUGGAUGAUUGAGAUUAAGGAAAAAGGAAAAAAGGUUAUGUGAAUUGAUAAGUAGAAAAUGUGGACAGCCUCACUAGAUAUCCUGGGAGAUGGUGGACGGACCGGGUCAGUAGGGAACCCUACCAGGAACGUGG
rnacentral:lncRNA from 1 species